rnacentral:rRNA from 1 species
GAUGAACGCUGGCGGCGUGCCUAAUACAUGCAAGUCGAGCGAACAGACGAGGAGCUUGCUCCUCUGACGUUAGCGGCGGACGGGUGAGUAACACGUGGAUAACCUACCUAUAAGACUGGGAUAACUUCGGGAAACCGGAGCUAAUACCGGAUAACAUGUUGAACCGCAUGGUUUAACAGUGAAAGACGGUCUUGCUGUCACUUAUAGAUGGAUCCGCGCCGCAUUAGCUAGUUGGUAAGGUAACGGCUUACCAAGGCAACGAUGCGUAGCCGACCUGAGAGGGGGAUGGGCCACACGGGAACUGAGAAACGGUCCAGAUGCCUAGGGAGGGAAGCAGUAGGGAAUGUUCGGAAAUGGGCGAAAGCCUGAGGGAGCAACGCCGGGUGAGUGAAGAAGGUCUUCGGAUCGUAAAACUCUGUUAUGAGGGAAAAACAAAUGGGUAAGUAACUAUGAACGUCUGAAGGGAACCUAAUAAGAAAGCCAGGGCUAAUUAGGU